CCAAUUGCUACCAGAGUUUUCAAAGCAGGAUUCUUCAAUUUCAAUUUGUUGAACCUUCUGAACCCGUCCUUGCCGUAGUUUGUAGCUAUUUAAAGGUUCAAUUUACUCUUCCAUUCGCAGCGGUUAUUUUCUUCAUCGAAGCAAGUAUGAUGAGGACAGGGCUGACGAUUUAACUCAGUGAAACUGCCGUCGAAACCUUCAGAACACAUAACAAAUCCGCAAGUCUCUGGAUCUCGGACGUUUCCAGCUUUGGUACACAGAUUAGUGGAUUACUUUCCUCGUCGUUUGAGGAACCUUUGUCCUCUGAGCCAUUACUGCCCUCUUCUGCACCACCCUCGACUCUUCCCGUCAUUUCUUCUCCAGGAUUACCAUCAGCAACAACUUCGUCAGUAUCACUCGGCUCCAUGGACAUAGGAACGUCAACAUCGACGAACCCAGCUUUGAAGUACAAAAAUGAAGUUAUCAUCGGAAGGGUAGGCCGCGGCCAAACAAAGAGUCGCCAGAAGAAUAAUGAAACGCAUCUGGAAUAAAAAUAUAAUAAUCACUUAA
rnacentral:lncRNA from 1 species